rnacentral:rRNA from 1 species
GGGCCCGCACAAGCGGUGGAGUAUGUGGUUUAAUUCGAUGCAACGCGAAGAACCUUACCAGGGUUUGACAUCCUGCGAAUCUCUUGGAAACAGGAGAGUGCCUUCGGGAACGCAGUGACAGGUGGUGCAUGGCUGUCGUCAGCUCGUGUCGUGAGAUGUUGGGUUAAGUCCCGCAACGAGCGCAACCCACGUCUUUAGUUGCCAGCAUUUAGUUGGGCACUCUAGAGAGACUGCCGGUGAUAAGCGGGAGGAAGGUGUGGAUGACGUCAAGUCCUCAUGGCCCUUACGGGUUGGGCUACACACGUGCUACAAUGGUAGUGACAAUGGGUUAAUCCCAAAAAUGCUAUCU